AUUGGAUGCCAUUCACAGUUAGUUCAGUAGCGUGGAUGGAGAAUAACGCGUGGCUGGAGGAACAAUUGAAAAAUGGAUAAGAUAAUACAAAAGUAGGAUCAAAUACAACAAAAGGAUGAUCAAAUUAUGAAGCUGCAGGCCCAAUUAUUGGAACAAUACAAAAUAUUAGUUAACAGCAAAGCUAAGGAUGCUCAAAUUUUUAGUCUACAAGCUCAGCUAGGGGAAAAGAACAAAUUGGAAUGGAACCAAACAGUGAAGGAGGUUUUUCCAAACUCAUCCCUAACUGAACAUGAGGAUGAAUUGGCAUUAGGCGAACACAGUCAGUCCACCACCUGACAGUGUGUUAAAUUUAAAUUCUGUUAGUGCUGCACUAAAAGAAUCGUUAGUAAUAGGUCCAUGCAGUGAAGGAAUUGAACAAUUGUGGGACCGUAUUUGGGCCAAAAAUGGGUGUGGUACAGAAACCGAGAUAUGGCACAAGUUCAACAUAAAACAUAGAUUAGAAUUUUAGUGGGGGAUCAAGUCAAGUCUGGAAGUGUUACAGGAUGGAAGAGUCAGCCUGUAGUUGAAAAAACACUGAGAGUGCAUUACCGUUAAGGUGUGAGGUAAAGUAAUAGAGUGAUGCAAAUUGUCUAAUGAGAAGUACCAUCUUGUGUUAAUGAAUCUGGUACAACAGCAAUCCUUUAUAGUUCUGUCACAGCUAGAAGCCUGAAAUAAUUCUGCUUCUCUGGCUUAAGAACAACCUUUAUGUUCACAGUGUUGGUGAAGCUGGGUACUUAAAUGGCCCAGCUCCCCAAUGGAUGUUUCACUUCACUGGC